rnacentral:rRNA from 1 species
CCUACGGGUGGCUGCAGUGGGGAAUAUUGCACAAUGGGGGAAACCCUGAUGCAGCGACGCCGCGUGCGCGAUGAAGUAUUUCGGUAUGUAAAGCUCUAUCAGCAGGGAAGAAAAUGACGGUACCUGACUAAGAAUCCCUGGCUAACUACGUGCCAGCAGCCGCGGUAAUACGUAGGGGGCAAGCGUUAUCCGGAUUUACUGGGUGUAAAGGGAGCGUAGACGGCGGUGCAGGCCAGUUGUGAAAGCCCGGGGCUCAAUCCCGGGACUGCAUUUGGAACUGUGCUGCUAGAGUGUCGGAGAGGCAGGCGGAAUUCGUGGUGUAGCGGUGAAAUGCGUAGAUAUUAGGAAGAACCCCGGUGGCGAAGGCAGCCUGCUGGACGAUGACUGACGUUGAGGCUCGAAAGCGUGGGGAGCAAACAGGAUUAGAUACCCCAGUAGUC